UCCAGCCGCUCUUGUUGAAGACGAUGUUACUAGUUUCAUCUCGUUUUUUCUUUUUCUUUUAUCGAUUGAUUGGUUUCGUUUCACUUGAUUCAUCAAAUUGUUUUUAUAAAUUCGUAAUGUAAAAAUUUGGUUUAGGGUUAAUUUCAUCAAUUUGGGGUUCUACUGAGAUCAAUUUUUAUAUACAUAUUCGAGGUUGAUUGAUGCAUUCAUCGUCACUACAACAAUCUACAGGUCAUAGGAUGAUGCCGGUUGAUCCUGUUGUGCGAUGUACAUGGAUUGUGGCACAAGAUUUUCUUGCUAGUAUCUCUCUUGCAGCACCACCCAGUGAAGUUUCUACAAGUCAAUAACGAUGCAUUGGAGUGAGAUUCUCAAUUGAUAAGAAAGUUUGUUAAUGGCAUAGAUGGAAUUAGUGGAUUCACUGUAGGUGAUGGAUUGCGACAAAGAAAUGCGGUAUCCCUGAAGCAUCCCUAUCGGGAUAUGAUAUAUGAACCUUUGAAGGCUGACCAAGUUGAUCGUUUUUAUCCAAAAUCACAUUACUUCAGCUGCCGAUAUCAUCGUCUAUAUUUCUUUGGCUUGGCCUUGUGUCAUAAAUGUCCACAUAGGUCUACACAUGUUGAUCGUUAAUGUGUACAUAAUUGUACACCUGCCUAUUCUGAAAUUCAGAUGACUAUUGAGAAGUUUUGUACUUGUUUACACAUUAUCCCUCAAUAUGGUCAUUACUAUCAUGCUAAAUUGAUUGUCAACCGGUGCACCAGCAACUAAGAUUCUAUACCUGGAUGAAGAUGGCCAACAUAUUUGCUUGUCUUGAAGCAAGGUUUGUAGAUACUUUUUUCCCAAUGAUUUAGAAAUAGUUGGUAUCUUACUUUGUUAAGAGACCCUUUUUAUGUUCUGAAGGUGAAUAAGUGAAGUUUCCCGUUUAGACAUGUUCUUUUCCCUAUCCCUUUUAUAGAAAUUAACAUCUUUAUAUGGU